rnacentral:rRNA from 1 species
UAAGACGGAGGGCGCAAGCGUUGUUCGGAAUUACUGGGCGUAAAGGGCGGGUAGGCGGUCGGUUAAGUCGUUUGUGAAAAUCCGGGGCUCAACCCCGCGAAAUGCAAGCGAUACUGGCGGACUGGAGACCGGUAGAGGCUAGCGGAAUUCCUGGUGUAGCGGUGGAAUGCGUAGAUAUCAGGAAGAACACCUGUGGCGAAGGCGGCUAGCUGGGCCGGGUCUGACGCUGAACUGCGAAAGCGUGGGGAGCAAACAGGAUUAGAUACCCUGGUAGUCCACGCCGUAAACGAUGGGCACUAGGUACCGGGUCUAUAGACGGAUUCGGUGCCGCAGCUAACGCAUUAAGUGCCCCGCCUGGGGAGUACGGUCGCAAGGCUG